rnacentral:tRNA from 1 species
GGGGAUGUAGCUCAAAUGGUAGAGCGCUCGCUUUGCAUGCGAGAGGCACGGAAAACACGUCUCAAAUUUCUAAUCCUUCCUUG